AAGACUAUACUUUCAGGGAUCAUUUCUAUAGUUCGUUAUUAGAGAAGUUUCUCUGACUGUGUAGAGCACCUGAAACCACGAGAUGUAGUGUCCCCUCCUGAGCGUGAAGCCAGCUCUAGGUGCUGCAUGAUUGCAGCUGCCUCUUGCCAUUGAUGAUCGUUCUUCUCUCCUUUGGGAGGGUGAGAGGGAAGGAACGCAGUCUGAGGGGGG
ensembl:snoRNA predicted gene, 24826